GAUGAACGCUAGCGGCAGGCUUAAUACAUGCAAGUCGUACGGGAUCCGAGGUAGCAAUAUCUUGGUGAGAGCGGCGCACGGGUGCGUAACACGUAUGCAACCUACCUUUAACCGGGACACAACCUCGAGAAAUUGAGGCUAAUAUCCCAUAACACUGCGAGAUGGCAUCAUUUUGCAGUUAAAACUCCGGUGGUUAUUGAUGGGCAUGCGCGACAUUAGCUAGUUGGUGAGGUAACGGCCCACCAAGGCUACGAUGUCUAGGGGUUCUGAGAGGAUUAUCCCCCACACUGGUACUGAGACACGGACCCGAUCCUACGGGAGGCAGCAGUAAGGAAUAUUGGACAAUGGUCGGAAGACUGAUCCAGCCAUCGGCCGCGUGAAGGAUGAAGGCGCUCAGCGUUGUAAACUUCUUUGUAAC
rnacentral:rRNA from 1 species